GAUGAACGCUAGCGGCAGGCUUAACACAUGCAAGUCGCGGGGCAGCGAGGGGAUUGGCAACAAUCCCUGUCGGCGACCGGCGCAAGGGUGCGUAACGCGUGAGCAACAUGCCCGUCUCAGGGGGAUAACCGGUGGAAACGCCGCCUAAUACCCCAUGGCGAUAUAUUGAGGCAUCUUGAUAUAUCUAAAGCUCCGGCGGAGACGGAUUGGCUCGCGUGACAUUAGCUGGACGGCGGGGUAACGGCCCACCGUGGCAACGAUGUCUAGGGGUUCUGAGAGGAAGGUCCCCCACACUGGAACUGAGACACGGUCCAG
rnacentral:rRNA from 1 species